AAAUAAAGAAGUAAACAAAUAAAUACAGGAGUAAGGAGAGGGCUUAGCCUUUACUGGAAGAUCUCUAGAAGGCUCUCAGAAUCCAGUGGAGAGCUGCACCCCCAGGCAGGGAGGAAGCAGGGCAGCUGGCGGCCUGAGCAGGGUCGGUGGCCCUUCUGUCCACAGCACUUGGUGCCAACUCUCAUCUUCAGUGGUUCAAAGCUUCGAAACCUCUAGAAAAAGAAGUCAGAGAUCCCCACUCGGUCAGGUGUACAUCCUGGACCAAUCAGCUUUUGCCCACAGGCCAGGGGCAGGAGCAGACACAAGGAUGCCAGGAAGGGGUAGGACAAGAAGUUCCUACAGAGAGAGGGUCAUUGUGAGCCAAGAAAGUCAAUGAUGAUAUCAGAAAAGGUGACAGAGAGGGACCAUGAAAUCUUCCUACAUGUGGGGAGUCAGCAAACACAGAAAUCUAACCUGACUGCUGGCGGGCAUUUGGGCCCCCGUGAGGUAGACCUGUCUGACCCCAUCCAGCCUCACCGGAAAUCUCACUGUCUCACCUGGGGGAGCUGGAGGGAGAGAUGCUGAACACAAAGCCUCGGAGACCUUCCCAAGCACAGCUAAGGCAGUUUUAGCUUCUACCCCUUACCAGAUGAGUCUCCUUCCCCCAAACCCCCAAAGUUAUGACUAAACUC
rnacentral:lncRNA from 1 species